CUGGCGGUAGGCCUAACACAUGCAAGUCGAACGGCAGCACAGAGGAGCUUGCUCCUUGGGUGGCGAGUGGCGGACGGGUGAGGAAUACAUCGGAAUCUACUUUUUCGUGGGGGAUAACGUAGGGAAACUUACGCUAAUACCGCAUACGACCUACGGGUGAAAGCAGGGGAUCUUCGGACCUUGCGCGAUUGAAUGAGCCGAUGUCGGAUUAGCUAGUUGGCGGGGUAAAGGCCCACCAAGGCGACGAUCCGUAGCUGGUCUGAGAGGAUGAUCAGCCACACUGGAACUGAGACACGGUCCAAACUCCUACGGGAGGCAGCAGUGGGGAAUAUUGGACAAUGGGCGCAAGCCUGAUCCAGCCAUACCGCGUGGGUGAAAAAGGCCUUCGGGUUGUAAAGCCCUUUUGUUGGGAAAGAAAUCCAGCCGGCUAAUACCUGGUUGGGAUGACGGUACCCAAAGAAUAAGCACCGGCUAACUUCGUGCCAGCAGCCGCGGUAAUACAAAGGGUGCAAGCGUUACUCGGAAUUACUGGGCGUAAAGCGUGCGUAGGUGGUCGUUUAAGUCCGUUGUGAAAGCCC
rnacentral:rRNA from 1 species